rnacentral:rRNA from 1 species
UACGUAGGUGGCUAGCGUUGUCCGGAUUUACUGGGCGUAAAGAGCGCGCAGGCGGUCGUUCAAGUCGAGUGUGAAAGCCCCCGGCUCAACUGGGGAGGGUCACUCGAUACUGAUCGACUCGAAGGCAGGAGAGGGAAGCGGAAUUCCCGGUGUAGUGGUGAAAUGCGUAGAUAUCGGGAGGAACACCAGUGGCGAAGGCGCUUCUGGCCUGUUCUUGACGCUGAGGCGCGAAAGCUAGGGAGCAAACGGG